CUCUAGUUUAUUUCUGCGUUUUUGGUGCUCUAAGAAUGGAGAGACCCAGAUAAAAAUUCUAGCAAAAGAUUUGUUAAGGAAUGUAGCAAAUUCAGGAGAUUAUAGGAAAUCUAUUUACGAGAUUCUAGAUUGGAUUCCGGCAGAUAGUCAAAAGGUUUACGAUCUGGGAUCAUGGAACUUCCGAGGAAUUGCCGUCCGUUCUACAGAUUCACUACUAUGGGACUUGUCUAUCAUCCGUGCGAAAAAAGCGUUAUUAUUUGUUAUGAGCUUUAUUUUUAAUUGUUUGGCAAUGGGUAAGAAGCGUAAAAAACGCUCUUAAAUUUUCUAAACUUUGCACUCAUUUUUUAUGAUUGCUUGAUCAGUAGUAAAACUUAUAUUUUAAAGUCUAUAAAUGUUUUAAAACAAAGUGCAUUUGGUUGAAGAAAUGCUUAUGAGAUACCUCUAGGUUCUGAUUGCUUAUCAAAUUUCCCAAAACAAAUUUUUAGCGUUGCUAAGGAAAACAAAGGAAUUUUAUAAAAUAUCCCUUGACUAAAAGAGCAACUAGUUGAAUACUUUGUUACCUUGUAUAGCCGAUUGGAUUGUAGUCUUUAAGCAAUAAAUUGAAGACGUUAGAAGUUGUGUGUCUUGAUUAAUUGAGCAAAUAGGUCAUCAGCAAAUUAUAUUGCCUUAGCAAGUUUUGUACAUGGGGAACAAAUUUUGCUAAUUGUUGGUAGGAAUGAAUUGAAUAAUUGUGACUUUUGUUUGAAUCACUGUCCCUUGAGCCUCGUCUUCGAUAUAACCAAGUCUCAAGUUAUUCACGAAGAAGUAUAACAAUUUCCUUUGGUAGGAAGAGAACCAAUUUAAGUUGAAUCCUGACAAGGUUAAUUGAAUCCAUAAUACCCAUCUUCAAGUAAAUUGAACUUUGAUGUAAACAAACACAAAAAAUUAUUGCGAAAACUUUUAACUUAAUGAAUAAACCGUUGAAAUUCUCUCCCCGGUACUUUUUCCGAGAAAUUGGCAAGCAAAUUGGAUUCAUUGGAAAAGUCAAUAACCUGAAUAGUCAGCAACCAAAUAUCAAAAAUGUUUCUAAACUCAUUGAUAAAUCAACAUAAUAUGAGGAAAAAUCAUACUAUAUACAAACCAAAUACACACCUUUUCUUCCAAAUUGUUCACUAAGCAACGUAAAUGUCAGUUCCCAAACAAUGUUCCUAACGUAUGAAGGUUAUCUCACAGAACUGUCAUUGUUCCCAAAGCAUGAAGCUACUCUGAAGUCCUAAAGUCCUAUAAAUACGCUGGUUCCUUAUUAGUUCCAUAAAGGAUCGUACCUCAAUAACGAUGACAUUACGAACUUUUAAAUGUAUAGAACAUGUUUUCAACUCUAUAAUAAAAAUCAUCAGCCUAUGUUCAAUUUGUACAUACGUAGUUUAAUUUUUCAACUUUACCUAUUUUCUUGUUUUUUGGGGAGAUGCCACGACUUGUCAUGCUAAAACAAGAAAUGAGCGCAAGACAUUAUACUGCAAUUAACCGAAGGAUUUCAUUUUAUAAUAAUUUGUUUUGCCAUAAAGCAUCUAAAACGAUUAGAUUAUCUGAUAUACGAAAAUAUACACCGCUUAUUGUUCGGAUUUUCACAGUAUACUUUUGUUUGAUUAAAUUUACGGUCUGAUAUUUCGCUUCAAAACCUAC